ACCUCACUAGUGCUGAAUUCUCCCAAUAUCCCAUGUACAGAGUUACAAAGAGGGGAUAAGAUGUAGUUAUUAAGUGUGACACAAUUUCUGGUCCUACUGGACUUUAUUGCUACUGACAGAACUCAAGAUGAGGCCCAGUGUUUCUGGUGAAUUUCCAGGGUGAGUUUAUAUCCACCAAAUCUGGAAUGCCCAGUGACCAUUUCUCUGCAGUGAGGCCCGAGGGCUCCUUCUCCAUGUUGAAGAGCCAAUCAACACAUCAAGAAGACUUAGGCAUCUAUCUCUGUGCCAGAAGCUUAGC